UGAAAUUUCUUCAUCCUCACUUUCUUCUCUUACAAGCCUUGCCCUCCCACCUAACCAAACAAUUAAUUGGGCAGCCACCAUCCUUGGCCAAUCAAAAAGGAGGCAGCCACCAUCCUCCCUCUUUAUAAGGAGGUUGGCCGGCCACUCCACCUCCCCUUUGGCUCAUUUUUCUCACUCUCCACUCCCUCACACUCUCUCCCUGCCCUCCACCACGAGCUGCUGCUCCUCCUUAGCUCCAUGGCCGGCCAUGGCCAUGGAAGGCACUCCAAGAUGAAGCUCCCUCCUCCCUCAAGCUUCCCCUCACCAUGAGAGCCUCCCCUCCAUCUUCUCCCCAACCCUAGAUGGUUUAAUCUCCUCUUCUUCUUCCUCCAUUGCUAAGAUUGGAUCUUGAUGCAGGUGCAUGUUGGUCCAAGCAUGGAGAAGGUUGAGCAAUCCUCAGAUCUGAAGUUCUUGAGCAAAAUCCAAAUCGAGUGGUUCAAAGUUCUGCAGAUAGGUAUUGAAAAGAUCUACAACUUGGCGUCGGCCUCAUCCUCAAAUUCGUUACGGAUUUUGCAUGAUCAAGGUCUGGUCAGAUCUGACUUUGUCGAAUUAAACCAGGAGCUUGGAAACGUAUUUUUGAAUGAAACCAGUUGGGGGAUGUUUGGUUCAUACCAUGGUGAUAACCGAGAGAGGCAAUUGCUAAGUGGUGAUACUCUCAUACCCUUACUAGAUGCGAACAAUUCCGGAGAAGAAGAAGAAGUGGUUCGGACAAGGAUUUUAUUUAUAUUGACGGGAUUCUUAUAUUGAUGAAGUUGAAGAAGUCCAGGGACAAAUAAGCCAAGGCAAGCCAUCUUUUGAUCUCUGUUUUGGUGUCUAGUUGGAUGUCAUUUGUUGAUGUCCAAAGCACCUUGAAUUCUAUGUGUGUUAUUCUCUCUAUUUAUGUCAUCUAUGUGUGUUUCCAAGUGGGGUACUCCCUAGUGGUGAUACUCCACCUUUGUCUUGUGAUUAUGGGAUACAUGGCAUCAUGGCCGUGCUACUCCCAUUGGUUAUCAUGUAUGCCCAACUUGAGCAUGCAUAAUCUCAAGAAAAUAACUUACAUCACACCCACCCCCUUUGUAGUAUAGAGGUGUCUAUGUCAUGAUCUUGGUGUAUUCUCCAAUUGAGAGGAGUAUGCCGUGUACCCUAUUGGAGAGUAUGUUGGAUAGUAAUACUCCACUAUCUAAGUUGUAUAGUUACCACCACAAAUCUGAGAGUAUAUUCCUCCUUGUGUUGUCAUAA